rnacentral:lncRNA from 1 species
UUAAGAUAUGUCCUUGUAGUAAUUGACCUCUUAGAUUUAGUUGAUUUUAUAUUGAUACUGCAACGAUUAUUUACACCAUAAAAUAUACUAUAUAAUUCAAAUUCUAGUAAAGAACACGUUUACUAGUCAACGCCAGCUGCAACCUAAAAUAUUCAAGACUUUGGAAAAAGUAUAUACUACCACUAAGUCAAGUUUGGUUCCCAAACCAUUUUGUACGUUUUAUGAUAUAUGUCGUUGGUGGAAGAUAAUAAGUAUCCAGUGAAAUUAGUUGAGGUGCGUGGAAAUUGACUUAAAGUUAUUACAUGGUACGUACUUGUUAGGGGUGGAAAGUAGCAAGUAUUUUGUGAAAAUAGUCGAGGUGCGCGCCAAGAUAACUCAUAGGUAUAGCAAGUAUCCUAUCAAAUUAGUCGAGGUGCUAGCAAGUUGAUCCAAAUUGUUCGUGUGAGGUAGAAAGUAUACCACGAAACUAGUUCAGGUGCGUAUAAGCUUACCCAAAGUUAUCUGAUACUUGUUGAUGUUGGGAGGUGGAAAAUAUUGUUAUACAAUUUGUGCUAAUUAAAAGAAAUUUGCCCAAAACACGACUAUCAAAGUUUAAAUGAACCAGUAAAAAACAAAAAGUAAUUAAUAAAGACUAAAAAAAAAAAACAUACCAGAAUCUGUUAAAAAUCAAGUACACUGAAUGCACAGUAUCCCUUAAGGAAAUUAUCCCCCUCUAGUAUCCGAUGAAGAAUUACUAGUAUUUAUAGCCAAGAGGAACUAGUUCCGAAAUAAUCUCUCGAUCGAUCAUUUUCAAGAUCCUAAGCCGAGGGACGACGGCAUGAGGGGGUUCGUCUUUUCAAUCCUUUUAACCGCUAAUAGAAGUGUUUUUCUAUUUUUCUUUCUACCACCAAUGAGGAAGAAAUGUCUUUUCUUAAAGCAUAAGAGAAUAUUUUUCAAUUCCUCUGUUUAUCUUUCUUCAUUUUUCAUUAACUCUUGCUAUAUCAAACAAAUAUCCUAUAAAAUUAGUUAAGAUACGCACAAGCUGACUCAGACACCACAGUUACAAAAAAAAAAUGGAUGCUAGCUAAGACCAUCAAAAAAGGAAGAAAAUUCCAAUAAUCUUCCUAAUCAAUUGAAAUUUUUGUGCUUGCCUAUUUUGACAAGGUCAACUUUUCAAUAGUUUAACAAACAAAAUGACUUAAACUUAGUUAACAUAAUUCAAAUAUCUUCACAAAAGACUUUCAUACUAGAACAAUAGUUCUUUAAUGGCAUGCCUAAAAAUCCUACUAUUUUUCCUCUUCAUAACCAUUUCUUUUGCCCAAAACACCACAAUAUUUCAAGGCCAACACCUUAGAGUUGGAGAAAAACUGGAAUCACCAAACAAAGAAUUCAGGCUUGAGUUUUUUAGCCUUGAUGGCAAUAAAACACAAUAUAUAGGCAUAUUCUACAAUUUACCCUCUAACAUGACCUUAUACCCCGGUGAUGAUCGCCCCGUUUGGGUUGCAAAUCGCGAUAGUCCAAUACAAUAUGCAUCAGGUAACACUCUCACAUUGGAUGAUGAUGGAAAUUUGAAAAUUUUCUAUGGAGAGGAUAGUUUUGUUAUGUUAAGUUCUUAUAAUGUAACAACAAGGAAUGCAAGUGCUACACUAUUUGAUAAUGGAAAUUUUGUGUUAGUGGAAUUGAAUAGUAACGGUUUAGAGAACAAAACAUUGUGGCAAAGUUUUGAUUAUCCUACUGAUACACUGUUACCUGGGAUGAAACUAGGGAGAAAUGUUAAAACAGGACAAGUGUGGUCACUGGUUUCUUGGAUAAGCAAAGAUGUACCUGCCUCGGGGUCAUUUACGUUUGGUAUAGAUCCGAUUGACAUUGACCAAUUGAUAAUAUGGUGGAUGGGAAGUGUGUUUUGGACGAGUGGACGCUGGGGAAAUGAGACGUUUGGCAAUGUAUCGCGAGUAUCACACUAUGAUUAUGUUAGCUUGAGUUAUGUUUCGACAGUGGAUGAGAAGUAUGUGACUUAUUCGGUUAGUGAGACUCGAACUUUGUCUAGAUAUGUAAUGGAUACGUUUGGUUUUAUUAAGGAAAGAGGAGCAGCAGGACCUUUUGGGGUGUGUUUUUACAAGCCUAGUCCUGGUUGUGUGACAGAAGAAUCGAUAGGGUGCUCGAUAAGAAACAAUUCGUGGUUCAAGAGAAGGCAAAAUAAUGUAUCUGGUAAUAGAUUUAGGUUUGAAGACAACAACAUGAGUUUAUUUGAUUGCAAGAGCCAGUGUGAGAAAAACUGUUCUUGUGCUGCUUUUGCCUCUAUCACAGCUAAUGGAACUGGUUGUGAUAUUUGGAGUAACGUAUCGAUUUUGAACUCACUUGAAUCGGAUGUUUUCAUUCUUGAUGACGAAAGAGGUAUAUUCAUAUUUACUUCGUUGUCUUUUUUAUGCUGUUGUCGUGUAACCAGGAGGUAAGGCUGCGUACAGUUGACUCUUGUGGUUCAGGGAAGUGCAUUGUUUCUAUGUCUAGCAAGUAACGAGAGUUAGUAAAGCGGACUCUAACGAUGAAUUGUGCAAUGUGUUUUUACAGAUUUGGUGCCAAUAAGAAAUCGGAGCAGCACAAAUGUACCAAGCACAAUCUCACUUCCUCCAGAUUUAGCACCAGAACCAUCUCCUAAUUCAACGUCAGGAUCGUCUAAAGGAACUUGUAUGUAUUUGUGUAUAAAUCUUGCUCUUGAACUAUUGUAUAUGAUUGAAGGUGAAAACCUUUUUUUGAUUGUUUCGUCGAUAUAGUCUAUUUAAUAAAGAACUACACGUUUUAGGCACGCAUUCUUUUGUUGUAUCAUCAUUACACAAUCUAGUCCUUGUUACGAGUAUACAGACCUUACACAAUCUGCACUGUUUUCCUUUUUACUUGUCAUGCUUUCUGCAUUGUCGUUUUAUCCGUUUGUAUAACUACUUUGAUUUGUUGCUCUUGAGCCGAGGGUCCUUCAGAAACAGCCUCUCUACCUUCACUCGUUAUGUUGUUUUGUUGUUGAUGCAGCAACAAAAUGGUGGAUAUGGCUUAUAGCUGCAACCGGUUUGACACUACUCGUAGGACUUAGCUCCCUAUGCUACUUUCUAUACGGAAAAGGUGAGCACUCGAAGAAUUUAGCUAGAAUCUUGCACCAGUAAAAUUCAACUAUGUUGCUCGGACUCUGCUAAAAUGCAAGCCACAGUACUACUCCUGUCGGAUCCUUAAAAAAAAACACUACUUUUGACGGAUCUGGCACACACCAAACAACAUUUUUUAAAAGUCCGAGCAAUAUAGAAAUGCUAUACUUGGGUUCUGAUCCCCACAACUUCCUCUUUCACUAUCAGGGAAAGCAAAAGCAGCAGCUUUGUUAUUGCUUAAUCAAACAGCAAAUGUAUCUAAAAAGAGAAAAGUAGACAAGAAAAUGAGCCAUGAAGUGCAGUUAUACAGCCUCGAAAUCCUAGCAAUCGCCACAGACAAUUUUUCACCAGGAAAUAAGCUCGGGGAAGGUGGAUUCGGACCUGUUUACAAGGUAAACAUGAUACAUUUUAUAUGAAUAUGAUUCACGGAAGCAUAAAUACUUAAACGAGUAACUUUUUUUUCAGGGAGAAAUGCUUGAUGGACAAGAAGUAGCUAUAAAAAGACUUUCGACUAGUUCAGGACAAGGCCUAUUGGAGUUCAAGAAUGAAAUUUUAUUGAUUGCAAAACUUCAACAUACUAACCUUGUUAGGCUUCUAGGAUACUGUACUCAACGCGAAGAACGGAUUUUAGUAUAUGAAUACAUGCACAACAAAAGCCUAGACUUCUUCCUCUUUGGUAAAUCUCAUGUUUUUCAUCUUCAACGAUUCGAAUACUUUGUCAAGAAAUUUCAUUCUUUACACUGAUAUGAACAGAUAGUAACAAAAAGGAGCUACUAAAUUGGGAGACACGAUUCAGAAUCAUCGAAGGGAUUGCUCAGGGUAUACUGUAUCUGCAUAAAUAUUCAAGGUUGAAAGUGAUUCAUAGAGAUUUAAAAGCAAGCAACAUCUUACUUGACGCGGAAAUGAAUCCAAAGAUAUCAGACUUUGGCAUGGCGAGGAUAUUUGGAACACAAGAAUCAGAAGCAAAUACGAAAAGAAUUGUUGGAACACAGUAAGUAAAUAAGCAAUGUUUUCAUAUACAAGUUUUUGUAUUACAUUACUUGAAGUUCUGAAUACAUUUUUCGGAUACAACUUCAGUGGCUAUAUGUCUCCAGAGUAUGCCUUGAGAGGCAUUGUUUCAACGAAAACGGAUGUAUUCAGCUUUGGAGUUUUACUGUUAGAAAUUGUUAGUGGCAAGAAAAACAACAGCUGCUAUGAUACCGAACAUCCAUUAAACCUCAUAGGACUGGUAAGUCUCUCGACUAAACUAUGAACAUAUCUCGCGAAAUGUAGAAACAUAUAACUAUUAGUACUAUGUUUUUAGGCAUGGGAGUUGUGGAGAGAAGAGAGAGCUUUGGAGCUAAUAGAUGCAACACUAAUUGAAUCAUGUUCGCGCGAUGAAGUAAUGAGAUGCAUUCAUGUGGGACUUCUUUGUGUGCAAGACUAUGCAAAAGAUAGGCCUUCAAUGUCAAAUGUUGUUUCAAUGCUUAUGAAUGAUACGAAACAACCACCACCACCACCACAACGACCAGGAUUUUUCAUUGAGAGAGGGGAUCAACGUGCAGAGAUCUCCGAAGAAGUAGUAAGAUACUCGAUAAACGGGCUAUCAAUAUCAGAGCUGAGAGCAAGAUAAGAUACAAGAUGUAACUUAGUUAACAUUCUUUUGAUGAAAUGUAAAAAGUCACCAACUUCAAGUAACUGAUUUCGAGUCCUGUUUCUCUGAUACUAUUACAUAGGCAACGCGGAGUUAUGGCAAUGGAGGCUUCACCAUUACCUUCUCCCCUCCCGCCUGAUAGCAACGUCACAUGUUACAUUUAAAAUGUGUGAGAAUACACUUGACACUCAUCGAUUAUAUACGUCGAAAGAGAAUAUCAGAAGAGUUUCUGAACUAUGAAUAUUUGUAUAUUAGACAAAAGAGGUAUCUGAUAAUGUACAUUCAUAUUUUCUCAUUCUGAGCUUUACAUGUUCCACAAAUUGGCUGUGAACUAGUUUACACUCAAUUCACUACAAAAAUAAAGAACAAUUUUGGUUUACACCUCAACUCACUACAAUUAUGAUGAUUUAGCUUCAUCGAUAUUGUUUUCUUUAUCUCUAACAAAAACUAAACGAUCACCAUCUCUGAUCAACUCGAUUUCAUCGAUUUCAGCUCCAUCUUUGCUAACAACUUUGGCCUGAGAGAUACCAUAUCUACUAGAACCAAUUUGAAGUAGCUCUUUAAAACUCUGUGGGAGUAAAAUGAGUUUUCCCCCAUUGUCUCCUUUCUCAGGGCAACACACGAUCACUCGAGGAGCAUAAGUCUUGGUUGUCGUGAUACUUACAUUAGUGUCGUUUGCAGAUAAAAGCACGUCGUGCUCAUUGGUCUGCUUUGCUGACAUUAUCCCGAAUAAUGAGUUGUGGAAGUUAUUAGACCUGCGUCUAGGACGUGAUCGUCCUAAUGAUCCAUCUAGUCCUAGAAAUGAGACUCCAUGUGAUACAGGGGAGAUUGUUGGCUCACUUUUGAACCUACCAAGAAAUCGAACCCCUCGUUCCUCUGGGAUAGGAUCAACGGAUCGUGUUCUCAUCAUUACUCUGGAUUCGAAGAGUUCUUUGAUGUCUUCAUGUCCUUGUUGCUCAGCAAGGUCCCGAGGGGUCCAAUUAUGUUCGUCUGGUUGAUCAACGUUAGCCCCUCGAUCCAAGAGGUACUUUACUAUUUCUAUGUUACCUUCACAGACAGCUACAUGGAGAGCUGAUGAACCGUUGAUCUUGGGAAGAGUGACAUCCCCGCCAUAACGGACAAUCUCCUUGAGCAAACUCAAGUUGUUUUGUUCAACAGCAACGCAGGCGAAAUGUCCCACAUCACCAGCUGAUAGUUUAGCACCGUUGUCAAUGAGUAACUGGAUAACUGAUUCAUGCUUCCCCAUGAUAGCCUCCCACAAUGGCACAUUGCCUUCUGAAUCUGUGUAUGCACAAGAAAUAGAAUCAAACUCCUAAAUCUGGCUUUGUGUCGAUGGACGUGGUAGGAAAAGGAAACAACUGAUAGUUUGAGUGUGAAACUCGCAAAAAAACGAUAGGCCAGUUGUGUUUUUGACUAUAAACUCUUAUAAAUGUUUGGACAAAAACAAACUUUUGUCAUGGAGCUACCUCUACUAUUGGGAUCAGCCCCGAAAUCGAGCAGAAGAACCACACAGUUCUCAAUGCCUUUAGACGCAGCGAUAUGCUGAUAAGAGAAAAAAACCAAUAAGAAAUUAAGUUACAUAGAAUCCAAGCUUAAGGUAACAGAUGAUCGUUAAGGAACUAACCAACGCGGAUCUUCCAUUGUUAUCUGAUUCAUUUGGAUCAAGACCGCGCUUUAACAAGUGAUGCAACAAUAAGUCAUCACUUCUAAGUGUUGCAAAGCAAAGGGUGAGAGGCAAGUCCAUUCUACCGCGAGCUAACAUAUGCUCGGUCUCAAGUAGAACACCCUCCAUAAUUGGAUUCUUCAUUUCCUUCAAAUGCUGCGAAAAGAGAGAAAACAUAACAUAUAUGUUAAGUCAAAUCAUUUCAUUUGAAAUCGUCCAAAUUAGGAAACGUUUGAGGCGUUCAUACCUGAAGUAGAUUAUUCAUGAUUAUUGUCCCGUCCCCAACAUUGGCCUGGACGAUAUUCAGAAAUGUGGUACGAUUCAUACGUAGUAGCUGGCACAGUCUCUUCGUUCGUACUGUAAAUAGUUGAGGCCUAUAACAAAGAACCCCGAUUUCACCACAAAGAUCACCAGCCCUGACCUCCCCAACAACCUGAAGUAUCCGUUUUAGUAUCAGCUCACCACUUGUGGUUUCGUAAAAGAUAUAUAUGUGUUUCAUCAAAAUGAAUCGAGUGAACGUAUUGAAAAUAUGAAGGUUUUUGCACAUGUUUGAUGAAACUUGCCUGUUCAACUCCGUUUUUAAGCACUACUAGAUCCUGUCAUAUAGGCUCAACAUUAGACUUGUACUAGCAAGUAAAACACCACGAUACAUGAAAAUUUUCCGCGUGCAGAUACCAAAAAAGAGGUUCAAAAUUACCACAGCUCCUGUUACAAGAAUAUAGAAGUCGGUUGGUGCUUCAUUCUGCAAAAUGACAUCCUCUUUGGGAGGAAAGUACUCUGCCUUCAUCUCGGAGACCUUGAAUCACGAAGAAAAUGUCAAAUAUUAGAGAAAAAAAGAUCUGAUUUAGGACGGCAAUUAAAUAUCUAAUUCAUGAAGUUACCAGCUGGAAGAGUAGAUCAUUUGACACUCCACGAAACAGGUAAACCUUAUCUACUAAAGAGUAGAAAAGAAAAUGUGAAACGCUUGAACGGAUAGCUUUAGGAAGAGACUCGAGUGUCUCUUGCUGCUGCAGCCCUUCCGAGUCUGUUCUGAACUUCAAGCACAAGUGUGCAAGCAUCUGAUCUUGGAGUCGAGCAGGCAAUUGGUUCCUCUGUGCAAAGCUCGAAGCAGCUUGAAUUGUAUCUCUCUGAUGCAGCAAUUUCAACAGAUGCAUUUUAGAACCUAACAAAAUUAUAGAAUUACUGAUAAAACAAUCGAACGAUAGGUUAACUUUUACUCACAAAUUUUCUAGUCCUACUCGUCCCGUGCACAACCAAGUUAGUCAUAUUUCCUAUUAAGUAUGCUGUCAAUCCCAAGUUAAAGAGCAUGUAGAAAAUAUCAAAGAUCAUUUCCCGCGUAUUCUCUGGAUGCAGAUCUCCAUAACCGACUGUAGUGAGAGUAGUUAUCGACCAAUAAAUAGAAGUGACAUAACGAAUCCAUAAGCUCUGAUUAAGGAAGUCAUCCAUAGCAACUCCGAUCCAUGUCCUCUUUGGAUCAGGAUAAUGAACCGCGAUAAGAUAAUAAAAGCAUCCGGCACAAUGAACAGCAAAAAGAGUGACCUAUAGAGAAGAACCAACACAUUGAUCAGAACAACAUCGAUUCAACGCUUAACCAAAGGAGGGAGAAAUGUACUUACACAAACAAGCUUUGCACAUCGAACCCAAAAGUAAUUGAAGUUCCUAUCUUUCUCCAAUCUGUUUCAAACAAAAACAAUGACACAUCUCUAUAACAGUCGCCCUAUAUAACAACAUUUCACUAUAACGACUAAGUUUUCUUUGGAAAAAUCGACUUUCAUGUUUAUGUUCUCUAUACUAGCAACCAAAAAUACACUAGACGAACAACAUUGUUAUAGAGAGGUCUGACUAUAGUACCUUGCAAACAAUGCACUAACUCUUCUUAGACGCCACAAACGAAGCAUAUUGAAUAAUCCAUACUGACGUAAAGGUUUUGGGGAAAUCUUCACAGCAAGUUCUGAAGGGAUUGUUGAUAUGACAUCGAAUAAGAACCAAGUACUCAUAUACUUCCAAGCAAUCUUUUUAUGUUCAUCGACAAGUAGAUAAGUGGUUCUAUCCAAGAAAGCUACGAAGAAGGUAAGAAUGAUAUCAAUCGCGAAGAAUCCAUUGACUACAUUGUCCGUCUUAGCAAGUGGCCCUGCUGGUUUUCCUAGAAAGCCAAACUCGAACGGGGACACCCAAGCAGUGUAAACAACCAGCACAACUAGAAAUGUCUCCCAUAACCUACAAACAUUACAGUAAACCUGAGAUGAUUAUAGCAAAAAUCCGUGAUCAUUACUAAACGACGAGCAGGACUAAUAAGUAAUAACCAAUCAAAAUCUCUCAAAGGAAAAUGAACGAUGACUCGUCAAUCAAAUGCAACAUGUUGAACGUGUUAACACAUUAUCCGAAAUAAGAAAGUUACAAAUUUUUAGAUAUAGGAUUGUUCUUAUUAAGCAAUGUAAAACAUAAAUAGAAAGUUGUAGCUGAUUCCACUGCUCGAACCUAUGACCUAAUGACUCGACAACUUUAUUGUUGUGAUUGAUUUCUUAGACAAUGUCAAAUGAUUGAAAUCAUCAAAUAUGUGAAACACACAAGUUUACUAGGCUCAUUUUUGUUAGUAUUGUCGGAAAAUAACUUAUGUCAAUAAAAUAAUUGAGAGAUAUACCCCUAACUAUCGUAAAUGGUAUGCAAAUAUUCUCCUUCAUACUUUUGGGACAUUGGUGCCCCUGCUGUCCAAAAAUUAGAGUAUAUAUACCCUUUAUACUAAUGGACAUUGACGUGUCAUUAUCUUAUCCACCGAUAAAAUUGUGUCAUGUGUCCCUAUUUAGUAUUCCAUUAGAGUGAAGGGCAUAUAUAUUCCAGUUUAUGGAUGACAAUGCCUCAAAAAUAUGAUGAAAGAUAUUUGCAUAUCAUUUACGAUAAUUCGAAAAAAAAAAUUUAAAAAAAAGUGUUCUAUUUUGUGUCAAAAAGAGGCAAGUGGAGUAGGGGUAGAAAAGACAAAAGUAUUAACAGUUGAAAAGAUAUUUUUUGUUUAUUAUGCAGAAACGGGGCCAAUAAAAGAAUGAUAUUUUGUCCCCCACCCACUAGGAAAAGAAAAGGAACAACCCAAUAUCUAGAUCUAGUGUAAUUUUAUCGGUGAAGUUAAAAAAAAAGAAUGAUAUUCAUAAAGUCUGUAUACCUUACUUUUACUUUUGUAGAAAUGGAGAGAUUGUUUCAGAUAACACAAAAAAAAAAAUCACACCAUAACUUUAAAAUAUGUAUCAUUUUUUUUACAAAUAUCAUAUUUUAUGUUUAAACGGCCACACAAAAAUUUGUUGAAAUUUUGUCAUUUACACAUACUUAAGUACUCUCUUGAAAUUGUUAGAGGUAUCAAGUUGUUUAGUUUAUCACCAUUCUUUUUAUUUAAAAAAAAAAGAGAAGGGAUUAUACGUAAAAUCGAAAUUCUAUCAUUAAAAUAAAGUUUAAAUAGUUAAAUAAUUAAAAAUAUUUCAAUUUACCUUCGUCAUUAAUUAAAAAAAAUUAAAGCAGUAGAUAGAUCUAGAGACACAUGUUUCAUCUUUACUCAAAGAUUCUAACAUUCUCCAACACAAAGUCAAAAGAAAAUAGUGUAAAAAUAAUUUAGAUAUUAAUCAAAUCAUAUCUCAUUAUUGAAAAAUAUUAUCGUAAUUUCAAACAUUUAAAAGAAUAGUAUUCACAAAAUCAAGAAUAAUUCAUAGAUUAAACAUUAGGAAAACUCGCCAAGUAAGGCUUGUUUAAGUAACUGAAUAUCUCUAACCAUCAACAAAUAAAUUCAAGAAUCGAGUCAGACUAAGUAAAAACACUAUUAAUUCUUGUAGGGGUGAGAAGAAAAAAAAUAUUUUUUUAUUAUCUCGAAGAUAAAAAAUAAUAAUUGUAUAUAAUGCAUAGUCUUAAAAUAUUCCAUAGACGUUAAUUUCAACAACCACGCACAAGAAAAUUAAACAAAUAUAUAACUGAACAAAGACUUUAAAAACAUUAAUAAUACACAAGGUGUACUAUAUUGUUAAAAAAGAAAUGUGGUGGAGCAUACUAGAAGAUCCUAUAAAUUUUAUUAAUAAAAUUAGAUAAUCAAGAUUCAAAUUUCAAUAUUGCUAUUUCUAUUUACGUUUGAAUUACAUUUUUAUAGUGGAAGGUAAUAAGUAUUCGAUUCAAAAGUCAAAUUGGUUGACACUACCUUUAGUAAAAAAAAAAAUAUUAGGUAUCAAGUUUCUUCUUUUUGAUAAAUUAUAUGUUCAAUUCGAUUACGUGCACCUCUUGCUAACUUCAUCAAUCUUCUAGUAUUUUGACUCUUUGAACCUGAUUUAGAAAUUUUAAUCGUCAUGCCCUUUUUAAGAAUUUUCCCAAAUAUUCAAACAAAAGAAGAUUAUGAACCUCCAUAGACAUGGAAACAAAAUAAACUAGAGAAAUGUCAAGCAAGAAAACACUCUCCCUUUUAACCGGUUUAUGCGACACGAAUCUAAAUUAAUCAAAUCAACAAAUUCAUUCAGAAUAUCAAAUAAUUAGACUAAAAGGAAUGAUAGAAGAGAGAAUAUUCAUCCUUUAACGGCUUUAUGCUACACUAAUUUAAAUUAAUCAAACUCAAAAAAUGUCUGAACUAAAAAGAAUGAUAAGAAGUUAGUUCGGCCUAGACCAUCAUGAAUCUAAAUUAAUCAAACUCAAAAUAAUAAAAAAGAAGAAUAGCUAUAACCUUGCCCUUGACUAUCUUACACAACACAAACACGAAUCUAAAUUAGUCCAGUCAGUAAAUUUCAAAUACAAAAUCAUUCAACUCCCAAAAAAAAAGAAGUAUAUAUAAACUUGCCCCUUGACAAUCUUACACAACACGAACACAAAUCUAAAUUAAUCAAGUCAUAGUAAAUUUCAAAUACAAAAUUAUUCAACCCCAAAAAAUAAAAUGGAUAUAAACUCCCCCCCGGCCCCCCUUGACUAUCUUACACAAAUACAUAAACGGAAUCUGAACCAGUCGAGUCAGUAAAUUUCAAAUACAAAAUCAUUCAAUUCCUUGACUAUCUUAUACAACACAUGAACACGAAUCUGAAUUAGUCGAAUCAGUAAAUUUCGAAUACGAAACAAUUGAACUCCAAAAAGAAAAGUUAAUAAGAAGAAUAAAGAACCUGUAUUGUCGAUCAUAAGGUGAAAUAAUAAAUCUUUUAAGCUUAACUCUUCUAUUACUUCUUGCACCAAGUGAAGGUAAAAUUCCAGUAGAAAGACUAUAAUGACUACUUUCUCUUGAUAAUUGUUCUAUUUCUUGUGCUGCACCACACAUUGAUACUCCCAAAACACCUAAUCCUCUAUUAUCUCCCAUAACUCUAAAAAAAUAAAAUUAAUUUUUUCUCAAAAAAAAAAAAAUUAAAAUUGUGUAUAUUGUCCUCUCUUGUUUUAUGAACUUUGCUAUAUAUAUAAAGAGAAAUAGAUGGAAAAAAUGUAAAAAAAUGUAUAUAUAUUUAUAGAGGAAAAAAGGUUCUUUUUUUAGGAGACACCUACCAAUAUAGUUUGUCUCGUGAAUCUUAUAACACAUGUUGUUGGUGAAUAUUAUGUAUUUAUUUUGACUGAUUUGAGAAAAGGAAAAAGAGAGGAACUUAUAUAGUUUGACAUUUUUUUAAUUUUAUUUUAGUUUUGCUCUUUUUUUGGAAUUUGGUGUUUAAAACGUAUAUAUUGGGAUCUGAUUAAAUCUGGAUUCAUGUGAUUCAGAAUUUAUUUUUGAAAGUUGCUUUUUAAAUGGGAUUUUUUUUUAAUUCAUUUUUAAGAAUUCAAACUUGAAGCCCUUAGUUAAGCGUAGAAGAAAUUAAAUUUAGAUUACAUAAUUUAAAAUUUAUUUUUAAAAAUAUAGUUUUAAGCGAAAUUAAAUUUCGUUAUUUUGAGCUUGAAUUCGAAACUUUUUGUUUGCUUGUGCACACAUAUGGAGAAUAGAGUGUACUCUUUUUCAUUCUUGGUUAGUGUAUUUAAUUUAUAUAAAAAUAUUUAAUUGGAUAUAGAAUUUAGAAAGAAUAAUGGAUAUUUAAAAUUUAUGAUAUAGAAUAAGUCAAUAAAUAAAAUUUAUGUGGCUUUAAAUUAACUUAAUAAAAGUGAAGUGAAGAUUCAAAAUAUCUUUUUAUAAGUCAAUAAAAUUUAUGUGAUUAUAAAGCAUUAAACAAGAAUACAAUUUUGUUUUACCAUAUAAGGACAAUUACUUCUUUAGUUUGUUUGUUUCAAUUUAUAUAUAAAUUAUCAAGAGUUUAAGGAAAAAAAGGAUAAUAGGAAUUUAAGAUCUACCAUAAUUAAAGUAUAUAAUCGUAAAUUAAUUUAUUAAGUUAAAAUAAAAUUCUAGAAUUAAAUAAUUGCAUCAUGUGAAAAUGUUACUUUUUAAAAAAUUGAUUAAAAUUAAAAUAAUGUCACAAAAAAUAACAAUAAAUGCCAUCAAUAGUAUGAUUAUAAAUUUUAAAAAAAUCAUAGGUUUUAAUUACAAAUACAUCUAAUUCAAAAUUUAACAAUUUUUUAUUCAAAAUUUGUAACACAUUAUCAAUAUUAUGUAUAAGGUAAUGUGAAAAGGGAAAAAAAGAGGAACUUUUGCAGGUUUUUUUUUGUAACUUUUUUGCCAUUUAUUUGACACGUAUGAAAAAUAUUUAUAUUUUCUUUGACUCAAAAAACAUAAAAAGAUAAAUAUGUCGGCUAAUGGACCAUGGAUUAUAUACUUUUAUUGUAUUUUAUUAUAUAAAAUUGGUAACUUUUAUUUGACUGGUUUUGUCUUAAUUUAUGUAAAAUGUUUGUUUGACCAGAAAUAGAAGAAAAAUACAAAUGAAAUUUGAAAUUCAUAGUCUUAACACAAAACAAUGAAACUCCUUAAAAUAAAAAAUUUGAGUUAAAAAACUUACUAAAUAUAGUAUUUUAUUGAUCGAUUAAAAUUGAAACAAUUAGAAUUCAUUUAAAUUUAUGAAUGUAAAAAUAUCAAUUUCUAAAUUAAGUUUUUAUUGUAUAAAAUAUUUAUCGGAUAUGAAAAUUUUAUUGAAUUGAGUUCGAUAUAGAAGUUCAAACAAAAAUUGUGUGGAUCGGGUUCAAACUUCUUUAAUGAUUUUGUCUUCCAUCAUGAUCAUCACACGUCAAAGGCGUACCUAAACUUUAGAGCUUGUGAACUUUUAUAUCUGUAUAUAGAGAGAAAGAGGCGGAUCCACCCAUAACCGAGGGUUUUCAAGUGACCCCUUUGUCGAAAAAGUCUAGCACAUAUAGAAGUUAAAUUUUGAUUUAUACGCAUUAACAUCUCUUAACAUAAAUUAAAUAUUUAGUCUAGUAAUUAACAUAUUAUAAAAUUUUCUUGAGAUAGUGUGUUCAGUCUUACUUACCUCGUAAUCAUCUGUUAUUGAAACCGUCAUUACUCUUUAAUGAUAAUUUUUUAAUCCGUUAUAUAUAUAAUUUCUAACUACUGAUCGUCAUUUUUUUUUUUCUUUUUGGCACUUUGUUUUGUGCAUACGCAAGACAAAUAUAAUUUUCUUGUCUUUUCCUUUUAAAGAUUCGAACUACCUUACUCUCUCUUUUUUUUCUCCUCUAAUUAAGGUGGCCAUUAAUAUUCAAGUUGACACAAUAUUUGUGGUACAAUAAUUUGUGUGCCUUAUCAUGAGAGUAAUUAAAGUGGAAUAAAAUAUUUUUUUUAGAAAAAGUUUGAAUAAUAAAAUAUUUUUUUUAGAAAAAGUUUGAAUAAUAAAAUAUUUUUUUUAGAAAAAGUUUGAAUAUGAUUCGAAUUGCAUUAAAUCUUAAUUUCUACUCUUCGUCCAUUUGUUAGUACCAAAAUUAUCUCUCAUAGUGGUGUUUAUAUUUGUAAAAUUUAUCAAAAUUUAAUUACUUUUUUAUUUUAUAUAAAGAACGUUAAAGUAUAAUAUUAAAACGAUAAAUUUUGUAAAUUUUGAUUAUAUUUAAAAGGGAAGUGAAUCACUAAUUCUUGAAACAAAAUGACACAAAUCUCAUAUUCAAAUUUUUUAUGUCAUUAUUCCUUAUUAGUUUUAUAAAUUUUCAAAAAAUUUCAUUUUCACGCAUUAAAUUAAUGUAUCUCGCGUAUCGAAUUAAUGUAUUUUACGUAUCAGAUUAAUGUAUCUCGCGCAUAUUAGUGUAUCGUAUAUAAAAUAUACAUCAGAUUAGUAUAUCAUGUAUGAGAUGUAAUGUAUCUUUCUUAACGAUUAAUAUAUCUCGCACGUCAAUUAAUAUAUCACCGCGUAUAUUAUUGUAUUAAUUUGAAAGAUUUAUGUUAUUAUAAACUUAUAAGGGAUAAAUAAUAAUUUUACCUUAAAACUAUGUAAUUUUUAUAAUUUUUCAAAAAUAAUAUAUAAAUAUCGAGUAUAAAUAAAUUUUUACGAAUUAAAAUCAAGGCACCGAGUGACAACCCCAAUUGCAUUAAGGCGACCUUCACAAUGUGCCUAGAAAACAGCCCUUCAUGAUAUAUUUAAUUAUUAUUUGCCCCAACCAAAAAAAAAAAAUUUAUAUUAAAAAAUUAUUUAUUUAUUAAUUUAUUUUAAUCAACCGACCAUAAAUAGGAAAAAAGAUUAAUGGGUCCCAUAAAAUAGUCAACUUCUGUACAAGAUUGAGCAGUUAAAAAGCCUUAAUCUGGCAACUAUAUAGUUGACUUCUUGGAAAUGUAAUGAUCCAUCCACUCCUUCAUUAAAUUUUUUUUAAAAUAAAUUCACUUAUUAUAUUUGACUUCCAAUUUAUUUUAUUAUCUACUAAUAAUAAUAUUAUCUUAUCAAGAAAUAAAUUUUAUAUAGGGAAAUCUAUAAUGAGAAUAUUUAUUUUAUGAAGCCCAUGAUAGAAAGCGUGUCGAUGAUGAGGAUGGAUCGGAAAAAAAAAAUCGAAAUAUUUUUAUAUUAAACUUAAAGAUAUAUUUAUAAAGCAUGUUGGGUGUAUAUUAUACGAGGAUUUUCUAUGAAAUCAGUAUGAAAAUUCAUAGCAAUAGCUUACAUAACGCAUAAGAUAUGUAUAUAUACAUAUGAUAGCGCUUUUGGGCUCGAUAAAAGUAUAGCUCAAGAAGCAAACCUUUUAGAUCAAAAAGUGAACAAUACAUGUUAUGAACUUGAAUCCCGACGAUUUUGAAAAGUUCAACUUCAUGCAUUAUAGUAUAAAAUUUUAAUAAAUAUUUUCACGUCAUUGAACAUCAUUAUAUAAAAUGAAAUAAAGAGUGUUAUUUUAUUACUUAAGCAUUAAAUAUAUUGUUAAUUGAAGUAUUAAGAAUUUCAUAACCACAUGAAAUCUAGUUAUAUGUAUUAUCUUAUUAUUUCAACGUUAAUCAAAGGCUAAUUAAAAAUUUCAUAUCUAUAAUUGGUAAUUUGGUAUAUAAUACUCGAUGUGGUUACUUAUAAAUUAGGAGUCUCCGUUUAUGUUACUAUCAUUAUAUUAUUAAUUUUUUGUUCAUUAAUUAUUCCCAAUAAUAUUUAGAUUAAUAUAUGAAUUCUGACAUAUAGUUGCAAAUUAAAAUGAUGUUAAUUAACUCAAGUCUAUCCAUAUGAAUUAUUAGAAAUAUAUAAUUGAUCACAUCAUUUAAUUAUUGAGUAGAAAAAUGAUGUUUUCAUUUUCAAUAAUAUUUUAAUGCCUACUUAACAGUCAAUAAAAACAUUAGUGAGAGUUAUUAUGGUUAGUCACAAUAAUAAAAGAAAUUAAUGUAAUUAAAUAAAAUCAUAAAGAUUACACUUGUGAUUUUUAAAAGAUUAAUUAGUAGUGAGAUAGUUGACUUGAGAAUAAAAGAAUUGCAUUAUGCAACAAAUAGGAUGAUGGCAAAUCAAACAAACAAAGAAUUGGUCUCCCAAAAAACGAAAUUAAAAUAAAUAAAAGUCAUCAUAAUGUAGAAAAAUAAUGACAAAUUUGGUGUUAGUUGAUGUAAUUUGAUGCUACCAUUUCUUUAUUUUUAUUUUAAGUGAUCUGUGACGCACUGUUGAAGUUAAAAAUGAUAUUAUUCAUCGCAAAAAAUACAUUUAUUUUAAAUUUUAAUGAAGAGUUAUUCAGUAAUAUUUGCUAAAAAAAGUGAUAAAAUCAUGCAUACCCCACCCCCACCCCACCCCACAUGCUUUGCUUCCAAGAAGCUUGACUAAUUGUAAUGAUAAAUGAAAAUUAAUUAAUUAAUACUUUCUCUGUUCCUAUUUAGUUGUCCACUUUAGAAGUGACGCACAUAUUAAAACACUAAUAAUUAUUAUAGGUUAGUUACAAUUUUAUCCUUAAUUUAAAAGAUUAUGCAACUCCCCAUGUAUAAUGAAUGUAUUUUCUGGUUUCAAAAAGCAUGCAUUAUAUCUUAAUAGUAUUAGAAAAUUUCUAGAAUUAAAUAAGGGCAUAUUAGGAAAAAAAAUUAUUAUCCUUUCUUGAUCUGUUAAAAUAGACAAGUAAAUAUGGACAGAUAUUAUAUUGAAGUGACACACAUAUUAAGACACCAAUAAUUAUUAUAGGUUAAUUAUAGUUUUACCCUUAACUUAGAAAAUUAUACAACUCUCCAUAUAUAAUAAAUAUAUUUUCUGGUUCCAAAAAGCAUGCAUUGCAUCUUAGUAGUACUAGAAAAUUUCUAGAAUUAAAUAAGGGCAUAUUAAGAAAAAAAUUAUUAUCCUUUCUUAAUCCGUUAAAAUAGACAAGUAAAUAUGGACAAAUAUAAAAAAAAAUAUGGACAAGUAAAUAUUGAAUCGGUUCAAAGCAUUGGUUGAAUAUAUAGCCUUUGAACUUUCCUAGGGUUAGGUAUCAGGAGAUGGAAAUUAAUGUAACCCCAUGACAAUAUUAUAUGUUGAUUUUUUCGUUUUAAAAUAAAUUUUACUUUAUUUUUUCAUAUUUAGCUAAAAGAAUUUACCAAUUUCUCCUUAUAGAAAGUUAAUCAACAAUAACAAUAAGACUUGUGUCACUUGUUGUUGGAAUCCUAAGAUGACAUAAAAAAAUUUCUUCCAAUUGAAUUUUAUCUCGAAAGUUAUGAGUAGAUUUCAGAAAGAACAAGCUAAAUGAAUUUGACGAAUUAACUAUCAACACUUUUUAUAGGUGGAAUUCAUAUUAUUUGAAUGAAAGAUAUUAAUAUAAUUUAAAAUAUUAAAUAAAAUUUAUUUUAUUUAAUUCUCGAGAAGUGAAAUAUGAUUCGAAACGGAGAGUAUCAAUAUAUAAUUGUUUCCUUGGACAACUCAUAAAUUUGAGGCAUUUAGAGCAUUAUUCCAAAAUUUGACUUAAGAAACAAAGUAUAAAAUUGGAACAAGUGUUUCCACCACGUUGUCACUAUAUGGGGGAUAAUUGAAGAAAAUUGUUAAUUAUUUUUCGUGAUAAUUUCUUUUUCAUAUUUAAUAUUUUUUUUCUAAAAAAAUAAAGUAAAUAAUUUUACUAUAACAUUCAUAAUUAUUACAUGUCAUUUAAUGUUCAGAGAUGAACUGAAAAUAACUAAAGCAUUAUCAAUAAAAAGAUAAAAAUCGUUAUAAUUAUAUGAUAAAUUAUUUUUUGAUUUUUAAAUUAAAUAAAUAAUUAUUCGAUUAAAUAAAGUAAUUUUUUUUCAACUUAAAUAGGAACCUAUUGGUAUAUAGGCUCAUAAGUUAGAGGCUCAAGAGAGAAAAAAUGGGUCGAUAACUAUUUUAAAAUUUAUGAAUUUGAAAAAUUGUAGCAAAAGUGUUCAAGGAAUAUGGAAAAGAUAUUUAAGUUUUAAUAAAUAUUUAUACAUUUAGUUAAUUUCUUUUUUAAUAUGAAUACAGGGUCUACAAUUUUACGAAAUAUGAUAUCUUGAUUCCGUGCUGUUGACGCAAAUUUUGUCUUUAUUUUCACAUUUAAUGGAUCGUUAAUUCAACACGUCACCAAGAACCAAAUUAUAUCUUUUCUUCCAAAAAUAUUAGUUAACACAAUUACUUUGUUGAAUUAUUUUUCAAAAUAAAAUCAUAACAAAUAUUUUAUUUGUUCUAAUUUAUUUGUUUUAGUUUUCCUUUUAAUCGUUAAAAAAAUGUCUCUUUUUUAAAAAAAACAAAUCUAUGAUUUAGAUUUUAUUUAAUGAACUUUUUGUUUUAAAAUUCUUCAAUUUCCUUAUUUCGUUUUUACGUAAUUCAAAUUAAAUUUUAAAGAAAAGGUCGAACAAAAUUUAUUAAAUAAUCAUCUACUUCCUGGACCUUUCAAUUAAAAUUAUACUCUAGUGAUAGCAUGUCGACCAUAAUGCCUAGUUAAAAUAUUUAAUUUUUUUUUUGAAAUAUAGGUGAUUGCAAUUUGCAACUUGUUUGAAAUUGAAAUCUAAUAAUUAUUCGUUAAAAGUUAAAUUUUUUUAUAAAAAAAAUCACUUCAUAAAUAGUGAAUACAUAAAAUAAUUGCGUAUCUCUUUAAUUGCUCAACCAUUUGGAAAUCGAAUUUGUUAUAGUGACGAAUUUAAAUUUAAUUUUACAAUUUUAAUAUAUUAAAUUAUUAUAUAUUUAAAGUUAUGAAUAUUUAUUCAUUUUCUAUUGUAAUAUUUAUAAUAUGUACUAUAACUUAUGUACUAUAUUAAAAUAUUAAAUUCGAUAAAUUUAGUGUUGAUAUGUUAUAUAUACUUCUUUAAAGUCAAAAGUUAUUCUGUAAUAUAUAUAAGUUAUUUAUCUUUAAUUAGAAUAGAACGAUUCACUUUUAUUGAUUGGAUAUAUAUUCUAAUUAAUUAAGGUCCUAAAAUAAUUAUCGAACAUCGAGAAACAAAAAUAUACUCCUCUCUACCCAACACAUUCAAAUCUUUUCCACUUUAUUAGGAAAAUUACAUUACAUAUAUAUUUCUUUAUGUGCAUAUAUAUAUAAAAAAUAUUAAAUCUCUUUAUUAUUUUUUGUGUGUAUUUAUUUUUAAAAAAAAUCGAAAUCUUUUUAAUAGAAAUUUCAUUGCUUUAUCCUUAGUCAAACUUUUCAAUAAAAAUGUCUUAUCUCCCUAAUGAACUUAUUCGACAUAUAUUUAAAUCAAUCAAAAAUUUAAUAUAUAGAUAUCGAAUCGUCAAAUUUAAAUUUUAAAGAAAACGUAAAAGCUAAACCUAUUAAACAAAAAGAACGAACGAGGAAAAAUGUACGUUCUUUUUCCCUUUUAGAAAAAAAAAAAAAGCAUGUUACUUUUAUAGUUUCAUUACCAUUGAAUGUGGAUGCUAAAUUUAUUCCUUAUAAUCUUUGAAUUUAUGAAUUUUAAAUUUUAAAAAUUAUAUUUUACAAGAUUUUGCGUUUUAAGUGACUUUUUGACACAUAUAUAUGAGAUUUGUGUCAAAACUAUCGAGUUAUGUCGAGCAUUCGAAUUUAUAAAUGAGCCCUUAAUCUUUACCAUUCUGUAUCAAUUAAUUUCUAUGAAAAAAUGUUGGAUUUUAAUCACUAUAAUAAAAUGUACUCCCUCAGUUUUUUUUAGUUAUCAUGUUAUAUUUUUAAGAGGUAAUUUGGUUAAUUUAUAAAGCUAAAUUAGAUUACAUUAAUUUGAUAUAUUAAAAUAAAAUUUUAUAUAUCUAAAAACUAUACAGAAAGUACUAUAAAUUACAAUCAAAAUUUAUUUAAUUUUAUUUUUUUUUAAAAAAAAUAGAACAACUCAAAAAAAAAAAUUAAUCAUUUCCCAAAAUAUGACCAUCCUUCACUUUUUUUUUUUUUAAAAAAAAAAACUCCUAUAUAUUCUUUUCCCAAAGGCUAAUAAAAAGCACCUAGGAACUCAAAAGUGGUAAAAUAAAAUAGAGGCAGUGUGGAUGACACAUGCAUUUAAAAAAUUCUUAAUAAAAACCCUACUUUGUUAAUAUUAUCUUUAUUUUUAAGAUUUUGUAACUAGUUUAGAAAGAUGCUAGUUUAAUGAUUUUAAAUUUUAAUCAUAAGAAUAUUGUAUGGCUAUCCUUUUAUCUCUUUUUUUUUUUUUUAAUCUCACUUCGUUAUUAGAAAAACGUGAAUAUAAUUUUUAAAUUCGACGUAAAAUUUCUUUGAAGAUUAGUUCAUCAAAAAUAACUUCAACAAAUUUGCUUUUAUGAAUCUCUGACUUAUAUAUUAUACAGAUAAAAUUUUAUUGUUACUUCGGAAUUCUCCUUUAAUUAAAGAAACCAACCCACAAUAAUUUGAAAAGGGGAAAAAAAGAUUAUAUUAGUUAAAAUGAUGUGACUUUUAGAAAUAUAUUGUGGUCAAAUUAGAAUAUAUUUUUUUCAAAGAAUCAAUGAAGGGUGUUAUUUAGCCAUUUAGGGUCCACAUUGAUUCUUUAAGGGUUGGUCCUAAGUCCCAAACAACUUGAUAUACUCAUAUGUAUUGCUUUUCUUGACAUUUAUAAUAAAAAGAAUUGUAUAAUCACAAAUUAUUACUUCUUUAUUUUAUUUUAUUAAAUUAUUUAGAUAAUAAAUAUAUAUAAUUUAAUGUAAAUAUUGAUAUAGAUAAAUUGCUCUUUACUAUAUUUGGUUUUUCUUUUUUUUUAAAAAAACAAGAUUAUAUCAUUGAACUACUUUUAAUUUAAGAUUUUUGUUUUUUUGGCUAUAAGAUAAUAGAUUUUUUAUUCAAAUUUCUUUUUGCUGACUUUAAAAUAUCGAUUGUCGAUCUAUCCAAUUUUUCUGUUUGACUUUGAAAUAUCGACUUUUGAUUCAAAUUUCUUCUUGCUUUAAGCAUACAAUACAAACUUUAUUAAUCUGGCUAAUUUGAACUUACACUUAAUUGUUGGGGAUGAUAUACACUCUAUUUAAGAAAACAGUUCCUUCGAGAAUUUAAAUGCGAAAUCUCCUAUGAAAGAAGUCAAAGUAAUCAAAACAUGGAGUGUCUGUUGAAGUAGUAUUGUUGUUUUUGAUAAAUACUUAUUUGUAUCAAACGUUUAUAUCAAAGUAAUCGUAAGAAUUAAAAGUUUCGAAUGAGAAUACAUAUUAUAAUCAUAGUUUUUACAAAUACAUCAUACAUGUAUAUAUGUCUACAUAUGUAAGACAUGUGUCUUGUAUUCAUUGGACUGAUAUAACUAUUUAGUGUCAAAGCAAAUUAAUUUUAACUCUAUGGGAUCCACCUUUAAGGUUAAUUAUUAGCAUUAAACUAGCUUUAAAAACUAAAACAUGGAUCAUACCUAUUAUUCAUUGCAAUUUUAAUAAAUUUCUAAAUAUAAAUUUAUAUUUCACGUAAAAAGUACAAGGAUGAACCUGAUACGAUACUAUUAGGCUCCAUCGGCCCCUACUCGGUGUAUGUAAGUUUUACCAUCCUAUUCACACUUGCCAAGUUGCUCUCAAUUUCGCGUUCGACGUAACAUCUACCAUUCUAGAGAUAUUUAGGCCCAGGCCCACCCAAUUUGAAAAAGACAGUGACAAACUAGAUUAUGGCCCAUCCCAAUAGGAUACAUAUAAUGUUUAAACAUUAUAUGUAUAAUAAUUUUUAUUUAUUAAGUUCUUCUAGAAUGUGAGAUUCGUAAAUAUUUUAAAAAAAAUAAGUUAGUAUCUUUAACAGAUAAAAGUAGCUUAAUACUGAUGAUUUUUUUAUACUGACGAUAUAUAAAACUUAAAUUCUACGGAUAAAUCAAAUUUUCCACAAGUAGAACAUUGAUGAUAAAAUCAAAUUAAACAUCUAUUUACAAUAUCCUGGACCAUAUUUAUUAAUACUUGGACCACAUUAUUGUUGACAAAUUUGUACUUCCUUUUAAUGGGCCUUGUUGACAAAUAUUACUUAUAUGGGCCUAAUUGUCAAACUUUUGAUUUAUCACUGAUUUUUAUAAUUUGGAUAAUUAUUGACUUUUACUUUUCCACAAGAAUAUCUAACACAGAUUUUUCUUGGUAGGCGUUUUAUCGUAAAAAUUAAAUAUAUUUCACUUUAUUUGAAAUUUAUGAGUGGGAGGUGAAGAUAAAGUAUUGUUUGAUUAUAUUUUUUUGUAAAGGAGGGAUGACGAUAUUUUAUUUGGAAAUUAUAAAGACAGAGUUGAAAAAAUAAGUUACUAAGUAGUAUUUCAAAUUCGAAAUUCAUCUCUCAUUUAAACAUUUGAUAUAUAUCCUAAUUUCACUAGUCUGAUUAAUACAAAAUUUUAUCGCGUAUGAUCCAUUUAAGGAGGAAUUGCUUUUUCCUAUCAUGAAUUUCUUCAUCGUUAUGAUUCGAAGUCCUGGUAAAAAGAGGAAGGAUCCAAAUUUGAAUUCAGAAUUUAAAAUUUAUGAAUUUCAACUCGGACUUCAAGUUAAUAUACAAUAAUAAUUAUGGUCAAAGUCCAAUAUUAAUAAGUGUUUGGUGAUUUUCUUAAUAAAUAUAUCAAUCGUGUUGAAUUUGAUUGGGCCAUAAAAUAAAAGUGUGCUUAAUGGGCCAUUGUUACAACUUAUCAACCCAACUCCUAAGUUUCAUUGACAAAGAUAAAGCCCAUAGUGAAAUUUCAUUAUUAAGUAGGCUUACACAAUACCACUAAUUUGAAGCCCAUUUCAUAAUAAGAUUGACGAUAAUGGGCCAUCCUAAGCUAAAAUUUUGGGCCCAUUAUCAAAGGAUAUACGUAAUUGAAUUCGAACGUAAUUGAGUGUAAUUAUACGUUUUCAAUUUAUUUGUCUGAUCAUGUGUUUGAACUCUAUUUACCACCGCACUAGGUCAAAGAGAUUCAACAAAGGUUCUUUGUUACUAAAAAAUAUUCGAUUUUUUCUUUUUGCUUAGUAACAAAGAACCUUUGAUUAAACCCUCUUUCCUUUCCUCUCUUCAACUCCGCUAUUCGAUUUGUUAGUCCAUAAAAGUUAAAACUCUAAUUUUAACCGCGCGAAAAUAUGGGCCCCAAAAGUAAGGUUUUUGUACUUAUGAGUUUUGUUAUGGACUGAGUUUGGCCUUGUCUGAUUUUAUGGGCCAUGGAACAAAGGUGGGUUCUAAUAAGUUAAAUCAAAGUUGUUAGUAAAUUUUGACACACAAAGGUCCAAAACAUAGCAUGCUUAUGGUUCCUUCAUGAGUUACCAACUUUGUUGUAUAAAAGUUCUAACAAAAAUAACAUAAAAUCAUAAUGAAACUCAAUCAAACAACUUGUUCCUUUGAAGUUAACAUUUCAUCAACCACUUAGAAAGACAAAUAGUCUUUAGACAUGUAAUUAUGAAAAAACAAAAAAAAAAAGGACAUAUGGGCUUCAUUAUGUUUUGGGCCUUUUAUUUGUGGGACACAAUGAAAAAGCCCACUCAUAAUCUCUUCUAAAUGAUCAAGGUGAGGUGUACUCUAUUAUUAUUCUUUUCUUUUUGGUCUAUUCCAAUGAAAAGAUUGAUAUCUAUUUAUAUAUAAUAUAUAUAUUUGUCGUUAAUGACAUGACUUGUUGAAAAUCACUUUAAAAAAAGAUAUAAUUGAUGUGUUAUGUAAUUUCUGGUAUGUGUCGAAAGCCGUUCUUUCUUUUGUUAUAUAACACCUUAUUAAUAUUUCGGACUUAGAACAUGUUAUAUGCACCACAUGAUUUUGUAAGAUUAAACAUGACGUAUAUAAACAUGUGUCAAAAAGAUUUUAUUUCUUUCCUUUUCAAAACAUGUUUUCGAUAAAAUAUGGUCUUAUAAAAUAAAAGAUGUUAAUAGAUGCCAAAGCAUCUUUACACUAAAAUUUUAAAUUGUUUGAUCAAAAGCAUCACUCCUUGAGGUUGUAUUCGAAUAUCCUUUACACACACCCUGACCAUGAAAAUAUAUUACAGCAGACCAAAUAUUUUUUUGAUUGUGUAAAGGGGAUUGAAUUCGAGUACAACCUCAACGCGUAGACCUUAUAUUGGUUGAUAAUACAAUAGUACAUUUAAACAAACUUGUAUGAAAACAAUGAGACAUGAGUUAAAUAGAGAUGUUUGGUUUAUUUGUCUAGUCCAAGUUUAAACAUUGAAACAAAAAUUCAGAAAAUAACAAAUGAUCCAUUUAAGUAGUUGGGGUGCACCUUGUUCACCUUAUCAACUUAGUCUCAAUUGAUGUGUCUCUAUCCAUGUCUGUUCAAAUCACAACCAAAUAUAAAGCCCAUUCCCUACCCCCCCCCCCACCCCCACACCACCCCAUAACUAGCACUCAUUGGCCUUUUUUUUAGGUCAUUCUUUAAAUCGUUAGUUCAGUGGGCUAAAUCUCGUCUUUAAAAAUAAUUCUAUAAAAAAAAAUUCUCUCUCGAAUACAAAUUUAGUCCACUAGACUAAAGAUGACAUAAUCUAAUAGCUUCAAAAGAAGGUCAUUUAUGCAAACUCCUCACCUUACCCCUAUACUUUUAGGCUACUUUUUAAAUAAUGUCAUUAUUAGUCCAAUGGGCUAAAUUUCGCUUUGUAAAGUAACUAUUUAAACUUUAUUGUUAUAGAUUAUGAUAAAAUUUUGUUUAUUAUUGAACUAAUAUGAACAUAAUUUAGUAGUGGAUCUCAAAAGAGGCUAUUUGUGCAAAGUGGCCCACCCUAAACCCCACUUCUUUAAUGGACUGAAAAUACAGUAUUGUUAUUGUCCACUAGGCCAUCCCCAUCAUUCCAACCCAAAAGUGAGUGUACAAAAGCUGGUCUGUUACUUCACCAGCAUGUUCAAAAACUAGAUAGAGGGGUGUGGCCUCAAAAGUACACUUCUACAAGAGAGAAAAAAAAAUGUUCUUGGCCCAUUUACAAAAUUAAUGGGCCCAUUUUAAGUUUUUUUGGGGGGUGAGUUGAAGGCAACAAUUAAUAACUUUCAUUGUCGGUGGGUGGUUGGUUGUUUGUUUCUAUAUACAUGUUUCAAAAAAAUUGCUAUGUGGUAGAACGAAAAGUAUUUCAUCGUUCUUAGUUAGAGGUUUUGAGUUCGAGUUCUCAAGUAGUCAUUGUGUUCAAAACUAGGAAAAGGAAUAAAGAAUGUUGUUAGAGUUAAAAACUAAAAGAACUAAAAUAAAUCUAACAAGUCUAACUUUAUUGUAGGUAUCGAGCAUCGUAUAUAUAUUGUUGAUCCACAAGCCAAAUCCUAUCAUAUAUCUUUUCAAGAUUCAUCUUCUAUUUACUAGUUGUUUUUUUUUUUUGUAUAUGGUUACCCCUUAAUUUGCCUUUUGUCCCUACUAUAUUGUUUCUCUUUUUGUGAAUUGGCUAUUCAUUCUUCAUGAUAACUCACUUCUUUAAGAUCCAUUUGUCUUCUUACAUCCACAUCUAUGUAAUAUGACUUGUAAAAUAUCAAAACUAAAGUAUAUUAGCAAAAACUAGAAUCACAUUCAUAAGCUAAUUAGUCUUAUUUUCUUUCUUUUGGUCACAAAUAUUUAAGAUGACACAAUGUAGGUAGUGAUAUGUAAUAUAGUGAAAGGGACAUAGAGAGGUCUUUAAUUUGGAAUAAUAAAUUUGGGAUUUCUCAAGUGUCACAUGGACUAUCAUGUGAUGAUAUGGAAUUUCAAGAAGCCAACAUGGAUACUCUUAUGGUAGGGUAAAUGGUACACCAUGAUCAUCAUGAGAUGUGAUGGAGGAGAUUUAAGAAUUUAGUACACACAUCAUUAUUUAAAAUACGCGGAUUUUUUUUUGGAGGGAAAAAAUCAAUUGACAACUAUCGGUAAAUUCAAAAUCUACAGUCAACUUAUCCUAAAUGAGUAUAAUCGCAUAUAUACACAUAUUACAAAUAAAAAGUACUGAAUUCAGAUGACUCGUACUAGAUUCGUUCCUACCUUAGCUCAAAGAGGGGGGAGUGCUUUGUAAGAGGACAUGUUGGGGCAUAGUGGCAUGUGGUUAAGCUCACAAAAGGGAGAAGCACAAAGAGGAGGAUAGGAAGCAAUUGUCCUUUUCUUUGCAGCAAGUAACACUUACUAGUGAGGGAGUGAGUAGUAAGUGAAAUCUAAAGACUAAAAGUUCAUUGCCUUUUCUUCAAUUCUUUCUUGCCAUCCUCAUUUUAGGGAGGGUAGUGGUGGUGGGGUGGCUAUUGGAUUUGCUUUUUAUGAUUACUAGAUUUUAAUCAACUCAACAUUCUUUUAGUUAACACUUGGAAGUUUCUAAUUUAAUACUCUCUUAUUUUGCAUAUUAGAGUUUUUCUUUUUUUUUUUUACUUUACAUGCUUCUACAAAAUCAUAAAUAAGAGAAUUGUGUUUACCUAUUUACCCUUUAAUUUAUUUUUUUCAAAAAAAAACUUUAUUAAAACAAAUAAAUUGUAAAUGAAAAGUGCACAUUGUCAUCAUGUAUGUAUAUACAUAUAUAUGGCUUACCACCUGAGCCUUCUGAAAUGUCAUUGUUGUUCUUUGCCUACUUGCUUUCCUGUCCAUUUUCACAUGACAAAUGGCAAAACAUUGACACCAUUAUAUUGGGACAUAAAAUUACAAACUUUGUAUUCAUCAUUACCUGUUUUACUAUGUUAUAAAGUUAAAAACACAAGUUUAUGUUUCUCAUUUCAUGUACCGUAUCCAAAUUGGAGCGUGAAUUAUAUUUGGAUUUCUACCGAAAAGUUCACAUUAGAGAUAAAACGCUCCCUAACAAAGGCGAUACUGUACUCAAAGGGACUCGAAUCUGAUACCUCUUUGUUAAGGAUGAAGGAGUACUUACCACUCCAUCACACCCCUUGUUGGUAAACUUGAGAUACUUAAACGUUCUAGAAAGGCGAAUAAAUAUAGUUGAUUGUUGCAGAGAGAGAUUUGUGUAAUUAGAGUUCUGGCUUAACUAUCUUAAUACCUUUCUUAAAGGGUGAUUUGGAGACUGAGUGCUCUUUAGGUGUAUUUGAUUUUUGUUUGUUAAUGGUAAUUUACAUUGGUUAUCGAAAGAAAAAAGGAAAAACAUAUGAAUUCGAAUUAAUUAAAUUAGUAAAUUCAUAAAAUCAAAAAUAAAAAAGAUAUAGGUGGUAAAGGAACAUUAAUCAAAAUAUUGAGGGGUUUUACUGAAAAAGCAAGAAAAACAAAGGCCUCGAUAAACGAAGGGUAUCUGAGCAAAAAAAGGAAAAGAAAAUAAUAUUUUUUAAAAAAGACGAAAAGUUCGAAAAAAAGUACGGAUUGGUCCGUGAGGAUUCUCUAACUGGCAGUGACAGAGUUUGUUAUCUUUGUGUACUUAACAAACCAACCUGACAAUUUUAUCUUUUUUACAUACUUUAUUGAACUUUGUGAAAUUUUUUAAUUCCAUUUCUACCCUUGUAAAUUUAUUUUUAUAAAUAGUAAUCAUAAUUAUAAAAAAAGAAAUUAAUUACAACUUGCAAUUAUUUUAAUCAUGGAUUAUUUGCAUGCUCUCUCACACUUUAUAGUUUUGCUUCUUAAUAUCCAAUUAUAAGAAGGUGAUUUUGAUUGGUAUCGAAGUUUAAGAAAUUAAAAUAUAAUAGUUUGAAACGUAUACGAAAAAGGUAUCACGUUUUAAAAUUUUGUCUCCAUGUUAAAAUUUUUACAAAUAUAGUCAUUAAAAAGCGUAGCCUUUCAUCAUAAUAUUUAUUUUGAUUCUUUGAAGCUAAUAUUUAUUAUUGGAAAAUUACACAUAUGACCCUUGCAAUAAUAUGCAAUAUUUUAAACCUUGAUACAAUUUUUAUAUGAAAUUUUAAGUUGUUCAAAUAUAAAUUUUUAAAUAUAAUACGAAAAGAUUCAUAAAUUGCAAGAAAAAUUAUAUAAAGAUCAUUUACCAAAUAGUUAUUUUGGAUAGAUUUUUUUUUCUAUUUUUAUACAUUAGACGUUAUGAAUUCAGAUGAAUUGAAGCUUAAAAAAAAUUAUGGAACAUUAAAUAAAAGAUAUAUAUAAUUAGGAAAGCAAAAAAAGGUAGAAAAAGGGUAUCAAAGGACAAUGAAGAAAAAUAAAGAAAUUAAAUGUGGGUACAAUUAACAGCAAUAAAAACAAAUUUAUAAUUCAGUAUCAUUUUGGAUAAUAAAAACAAAUAUAUAGCUGGAAACUUCAAAGAUAAUUUUUUUGUGAAAAAUUUAGAAAUAGUAAAGACAAUAAAUAUUAUAAGGCUAUUAAUUAUAAUUUUGAUAAUUGUACUUUAUAUUUUUAAUUUUGUUUUCUAAGAAUGAUGUGAUUUGUGUAUUUCAUUUGUCUGUUAUAUUUUCCUUGUAAAUAUAUCUUUUUUAUUUUAUUCUUCACGUCCAGGAUUACGUCCGGGAUCACUAGAUAGGAAUCCAAAGAUGAAGAGAGAAACAAAAAAUAUCACUACUGUGUAAACGAAGAGUUUGAGAGUAAGCAUUACACAAUCUCCAAGAUGAUUUUUUUGAAAAAAAAAAAAGAGAAUAGAUCAUCCAUCGCAUAUCCUAGUUUGACACCAAGCAACGAAGCUCUUUCUCUAAAAGAAUUUUCAGAAAUUCUUUUAUAAUAAGAGUUUGUCAUUAACCAAAUUUUUUAUAUACACAAGAGGAGCCUAAUAAGGUCUUUCACUGGAAAGGAAAGCGCCAAAAAAGAAGGAAAUUAAGUUAAGCCGGAUUUCUCGUGACUAUUCAAGAAUUUCAAUGUUUGAAUUGAGAUUUCAAACGGUAAAGCUUAUCUGAUUUCAUUGAUUUUCUAAUUUUUUUCUCGAAUAAAUCAUGAAUUUUCUAGGAUAUUAUUAAGGAUCUCAUCGAAAACUUACAGCAGC